AGCAGCCGCGGUAAUUCCAGCUCCAAUAGCGUAUAUUAAAGUUGCUGCAGUUAAAAAGCUCGUAGUUGAAUUUCGGGACCAAUCUGCCGGUCGUGCCUCCGGUACGCACUGGUUUUAUUGGUUUCUCCCUUCUGACGAACCAUGAUGUCAUUAAUUUGGUGUCAUGGGGAAUCAGGACUGUUACUUUGAAAAAAUUAGAGUGUUUAUAGCAGGCUCACGCUUGAAUACAUUAGCAUGGAAUAAUGAAAUAGGACGUUUGAUUCUAUUUUGUUGGUUUCUAGGAUCGACGUAAUGAUUAAUAGGGAUAGUUGGGGGCAUUAGUAUUCAAUUGUCAGAGGUGAAAUUCUUGGAUUUAUUGAAGACUAACUACUGCGAAAGCAUUUUGCCAAGGAUGUUUUCAUUAAUCAAGAACGAAAGUUAGGGGAUCGAAGACGAUCAGAUACCGUCGUAGUCUUAACCAUAAACUAUGCCGACUAGGGAUCGGAUGAUGUUAAUUUUUUCAAUGACUCAUUCGGCGCCU
rnacentral:rRNA from 1 species